GAGGGUGAACGACAGGGGAGCCUUGCGUGCUGCAGUCCCGGGCGUUGCAACCGUCUGACAGGACUGAGCCACCGAACUGAGCUGAUAGGCUGUGCUCUGAUCACCUCGUGCCCUGAUUGGCUGGCAAAGCUUUGCGCAUCACCAACCUUCUGGCUGAACCUCAUCUGGGGUCCUUGCGCUCGCUCGCAGUCAGCCUCUUUCGUCUUGUGGGGCCUGCUUCCUGCAGAAACACUUAGGAAUGCAGGUCGGGCCUUCGCCCGCCCGUGUCUUCCUGGCCGCGGGGCCCACCCUCCUCCUGAGAGGGUUUGUAGACGGAGGCGGCGCUGCCCUCGGCUCUGGGCCGUCGUCGUGGUUCGUGCUGGGAGCCCGGCUCUUGGGGAGCUCGUCCCCUGGGGCCUGUCAGGCCUGCUCACCCAAGGCCCUUCCUCCUUCCUUAUCCAGAGCGGCUGUGCUCGCCUUCCCGCCUCCCCUGGACGCGCAGGUCCAGCCGGGCCGCCCCAGCCCCGCCUCUCCAGACGCUUCCGCCUGGGCACCGGCUCCGGGGCCUGCGGCAGAGACCUGGGCCUGCCGGGCGUGCAUCCAGGCCCUGAAGCCGCGAGGCCCAGGGUUCCUUUGGGGCCCCAGGCAGCCUCACAUUCCCCGGGAGCCCCUAGGAAUCCCCAGAGGCCACAGCCCACUGGCCGUCCUGCUUCCGCGCUGACCCCACCCGGAGUCUUACCCCAGUGGCCGUCUGACGCGCGCCUUCCACGCUGCCCACAGCCUGCGGUGGUCUCUCCCUUCACGGCCAGGAGCUCAGGCAGAGGCCUCGGCAGGGGGGGCUGCCCCGCGAGGCUUUGCUGGGGGGUCGCACCUGGGCUGGGUGGGGCUGGAAGGUCCAAGAUCCCCCCGCCUGUCACCUUGGUGUCUCCCACCUGGCCACUUUCUCUCUCCGUGGGACCCCGUCUCUCCCCACCUGGCCCCUUUCUCCCUCUGCGUGGCCCCCUCUCCCUCCACGUGGCCCCUUUCUCCCCCCACGUGGCCCCUUUCUCCCCCCGCGUGGCCCCCUUUCCCCCUCCGCAGGGUCCCUUUCUCCCUCCGCGUGGCCCCCCUUCUCCCCCGCGUGGCCCCCCUUCUCCCACACGUGGCCCCCCUUCUCCCCCGCAUGGCCCCCCUUCUCCCCCGCGUGGCCCCCCUUCUCCCCCCGCGUGGCCCCUUUCUCCCUCCGCGUGGCCUCUUUCUCCCCCCGCGUGGCCCCUUUCUCCCUCCGCAGGGUCCCUUUCUCCCCCCGCGUGGCCCCUUUCUCCCCCCGCGUGGCCCCUUUCUCCCUCCGCAGGGUCCCUUUCUCCCCCCGCGUGGCCCCCUUUCUCCCUCCGCAGGGUCCCUUUCUCCCUCCGUGUGGCCCCUUUCUCCCCGCGCGUGGCCCCCCUUCUCCCUCUGCGUGGCCCCCUUCUCCCCCCGCGUGGCCUCUUUCUCCCUCCGCGUGAGCCCGUCUCUCUCCAGGCCUUGUCUUGCCUGAGCUGGGUUACCAUGUGGUUACCCGGGUGCUCGCUGCUGAGCGGAGCAAGCUGCAGCCCAGCCUGGAUCCGAGGGGAGACCACGGGCCUCAGCGCUUGGCGGGAGCCUGGGCCGAGUGCACCAGGAGCGGCGGGGAGCAAACCCAGGACUCCCAACACCCGUGGCAACGACGCGAGUGUGUCCCUGCCGUUGCUGGAGUGUCACCAGUCAAAUGUCCGGACCCGACACCACCGCGGAGCAUCUGCCUCUGGGUUCAUCUCAGCGGGGUCCUGGCGGAGGGCGCUCAGGGGAGUUUGGCGAGAGGAGCCCCCAUGGCCCAGGCCCAUCAUCCCUUUCCAGACUCCGCCCACCCACCCUGCAUGACCGUCAGGGUCUCUGCCUCUCAUGGGAACAGAGGCAGGUCCCCCA
rnacentral:lncRNA from 1 species